CGAACGCUGGCGGCGUGCCUAAUACAUGCAAGUCGAACGAAACUUUCUUACACCGAAUGCUUGCAUUCACCGUAAGAAGUUGAGUGGCGGACGGGUGAGUAACACGUGGGUAACCUGCCUAAAAGAAGGGGAUAACACUUGGAAACAGGUGCUAAUACCGUAUAUCUCUAAGGAUCGCAUGAUCCUUAGAUGAAAGAUGGUUCUGCUAUCGCUUUUAGAUGGACCCGCGGCGUAUUAACUAGUUGGUGGGGUAACGGCCUACCAAGGUGAUGAUACGUAGCCGAACUGAGAGGUUGAUCGGCCACAUUGGGACUGAGACACGGCCCAAACUCCUACGGGAGGCAGCAGUAGGGAAUCUUCCACAAUGGACGCAAGUCUGAUGGAGCAACGCCGCGUGAGUGAAGAAGGUCUUCGGAUCGUAAAACUCUGUUGUUAGAGAAGAACACGAGUGAGAGUAACUGUUCAUUCGAUGACGGUAUCUAACCAGCAAGUCACGGCUAACUACGUGCC
rnacentral:rRNA from 1 species